rnacentral:rRNA from 1 species
GACGAACGCUGGCGGCGUGCCUAAUGCAUGCAAGUCGCACGCGGCACCUUCGGGUGCUGAGUGGCGAACGGCUGAGGAACACGUGGGGACCUGUCCGGGAGUGGGGGACAACACCGCGAAAGCGGUGCUAAUCCCGCAUACGCUCUGAGGAGGAAAGCCGAAAGGCGCUCCCGGGUGGCCCUGCGGCCCAUCAGGUUGUUGGUGGGGUAACGGCCUACCAAGCCAAUGACGGGUCGCUGGUCUGUGAGGACGACCAGCCAGACUGGGACUGGGACACGGCCCAGACUCCUACGGGAGGCAGCAGCAAGGAAUUUUCGGCAAUGGGCGCAAGCCUGACCGAGCAACGCCGCGUGCAGGAAGACGGCCUUCGGGUUGUAAACUGCUUUUGCUGGGGAUGAUAACAGACAGUACCUGGCGAAUCAGCCCCGGCUAACUCUGUG